UUAUUCUUAAUUUUUUUAGGGUUGCGAUUUAUUGGUUUAAUUUCCAGAUUGAAGGAAAGAAUAUUUGAAUUGGGAAGGCUACUUAUGUUAAGGUAUGAAAUACCAAUUUUGGAAAAAACCUUGAAUUUUUAUUUGGAUUUUUGAAUGAAUAUAGAAUAAUUGUAGGGAUGAAAUAAGGCAUGAAUUUAUGGAGCAAGAUGGAAAAUUAUAUUGGUUAAAUUAUAAUUAUUAGUUUUACUAAUUUGGAAGAAGGAAUUAUUUUCAUGUCUGGAGUGAAAAUUAUUUUGAUAAAUUAGAUUUUAAUGAAAGGAUUAGAACUCUAGAAGGUAGAAUUAGUUUCAAAUAUGAAGGAAAUUAAAGAAUAUAUUCAAGUGUCGAGAAGUCGAGCAUUUCGUAGUUAAAAGUUAAGAAUACUUGGUAGGGUGAUUGUUAAAUUGGUUAUCUUGUAUCAUAUUUCAGGAGAUGACGAGAAUAUUGAAAUCAUGACCAGUCCAUAACUUGGUGAGUGGAUAUAAAACUUAUUUUUUAGAAAUUAAUUAUUUAUUAAAUUUACAUUAGAUUAGAGAAUUUACUUUUUCAUACAGUUGAUUUGACAACAUGAUUUUUAGAAUAAAGUGGAUUUAUAAUUAGUUGUUUUUAAAGUGAAAUUCAGUUCAAUUAAAUCAUUUCAAUAGCAUGUGUCCAUUCGUAUUACCUGUUUCAGUAUAGCUAAAGUUAUUUCUAAAAACCACCAGAAAGUACCCAAAUGAUUUUACCCCAGUCUGCACUGGUGUGAAUGUGUUUCCAUAGUGUAUGACAAGUUAUGGUGAUUUUACUUGCUCUGCACUAUUGUGAAUGUGUUUCCAUAGUGUAUGACCAGAUUAUCAGAGGUCUUUGGGACCCACUCUCGUACACAUAUAGGCUUUGGGCCGUUUACUAGGGUGAUUAGCCUUUGGGGCAGCUCUGUGUACGUAUGACCAGAUUACCAGAUUAUCAGAAUAUCAUAUUUGAGUAGUUUUGCCUUGUACAUCGAGAUUACUCUGUACAUGAGUAAGGCAAUUCAUUGGGUACCUUUUUGGUGUUAUUUUUCAGUAUUUCUACAGCUUAUUAGAUUUCAGAUUAUAGAAUUCAGUUAAUUCAGUUUUCAAAAUAAAGCUUUCAGCUUAUAGUAUUGAUUAACAGCAAUAUUUCAUAGAUUUUCACGGAUGUCAUAAUAUUUAUAUUCGUUACAUUUUACAGUUACUUAUCUAAAAUGAAGAACAAAGAAUUUUAUGAUGUAUUCAUAUUUGAUUGUAAAAAGUGUUACCAGAUUUUAGAAUUUCUUAAAGUUUCAAUAAUGAGAAAAGUAUACUUAUUUGCAAAUUAUCCACUCAUUAAGCUUUAAGCUCAUAUAUUUUUCACCUUUUUUCUUUAUCAGGCAAAUAACAGUCGAAUUGGGCAGCUUUGGAGCCUGUCGAACCACUACAUUGAGCCACGCGUCAUAGGUUGUAUGACAUCCUUUAUCAAAUUAUACAUUAUAUGAUCUUUUGGGAUACAUGUAGCUUAAAUCAGAAAAGUUCAAUAUGGACUCAUUAAAUAGUUGGUAUCUUUAGUAUGUUUGAGGAUUGUUGAUUGUAAAGCAAGUGAAUGUUGAUUUAUCAGUAUUUUAUUUGAAUAGUUUGUAUUUUGAUGGACUGUCUUACCCUAUUUAUAUUAUAGGUAUUGAUUUGAAGAAAAUUGAUUAAUGUUUAGGUGGUUUUAGUUCAUAUUUCAGGGAAAAUUCUGUCAAAAUUUUGUUAAAAAUAAAUUUUAGUCGAGCAAGUCAAGUUGCCUUGGUGGUGG
rnacentral:lncRNA from 1 species